CAGGAAUUGGACGGACAAUCCCAAACCGGAAAUCCUCCAAGUGUUUGGUGCUGAUAAACCCUCUGGCUGCACAAACACUCCCCUCAUGCCCCUCAAGUCCCUCUACGGAAGAAAGUCAGUCUGGAUGGACAUGAGGAUUCCUGUUGCUGUUUUAUGGAGAUUCUUUCUACACGUUGUCACAUCCAUCUUCUUCUUUUAAGCCUGCAGGGUCAAAAUCACAUAACUAGCUUGACUGGUGGAGGAUGAAUGACCUGACGGGACAAUCUUGAGAUUCCACAGCGGAAGAGAGGAGGACAGAUGAAAGAGAGCAGAGCUCAGCUGAAGUCGGAUCACUGUGCCACAGACUGCCAGACAUGAACGGAAAUAUCAGGAAAUGGCAUCUCAGUUUCCUGUUUCUUCCAGAGAAAAAACUCAACCCAUUGCUCUCUAUCUCUUGUGUUUCUUAUACCAUUCUAUCUAUGGUGAAAAACAUAUCGGUUACCCUGCGGAGAGUUUUUUUCCAAAUCAAAAACAGUGAGAGAAUGAUUUAUGUUUAAGUGUUCAUCUGUUAUAUUGUUAAUAUUUCAUUCUAAUAGAUGUUUCACUCGUGGUGGAUUGUUUUAUAAUAAUAUUAACACAGGUAUUACAGACCCCACUGGUUCAAACAGACAAAACAGAUUCACGAUGUUUACACUCUUCAGGGAAAUCAGUGUAUGAAUAGAUUACAUAUUUAGACUUCAAGUCAGUGUAUUUUCAUAAUUCAAUACCCAGAUU